rnacentral:rRNA from 1 species
AACGGAGGGUGCAAGCGUUGUUCGGAAUUACUGGGCGUAAAGCGCGUGCAGGUGGUUUAUUAAGUUUUAUGUGAAAUCCCUUGGCUCAACCAAGGAACUGCAUGAAAUACUGAUGAACUAGAAUUCGGUAGGAGAGGGCGGAAUUCCCAGUGUAGAGGUGAAAUUCGUAGAUAUUGGGAGGAACACCAGUGGCGAAAGCGGCUCUCUAGAACGAUAUUGACGCUCAUACGCGACAGCAUGGGGAUCAAACAGG